rnacentral:rRNA from 1 species
UACGUAGGUGGCAAGCGUUGUCCGGAAUUAUUGGGCGUAAAGCGCGCGCAGGCGGUCCUUUAAGUCUGAUGUGAAAGCCCACGGCUCAACCGUGGAGGGUCAUUGGAAACUGGGGGACUUGAGUACAGAAGAGAAGAGUGGAAUUCCACGUGUAGCGGUGAAAUGCGUAGAGAUGUGGAGGAACACCGGUGGCGAAGGCGGAUCUCUGGGCCGAUACUGACGCUGAGGAGCGAAAGCGUGGGGAGCGAACAG